UGGGUUUCUGGUCGUGUCUAUGGAAUAAAUAGGGAGAGAACUAUUAAUAUUACACCAGGUUCAAGAGCUUUCCACACUCAACUUUGCAGAGAAGGUUAGAGGAGAAAGGUAGGAGACAGGGACAAGGCCAGGGAUGGAACCGAGGAAAAGAAGGGGGGAUAGAAGGCAGUGAGGAAAGAUACAAAGAAAGAAGGAAAGCAAAUAAGAGAAAAAGUAAG